UACAGAGGGUGCGAGCGUUAAUCGGAAUUACUGGGCGUAAAGCGUGCGUAGACGGUUACAUAAGUCGAAUGUGAAAGCCCCCGGCUCAACUGGGGAGGGUCAUUCGAUACUGUUCGACUCGAAGGCAGGAGAGGGAAGUGGAAUUCCGGGUGUAGUGGUGAAAUGCGUAGAUAUCCGGAGGAACACCAGUGGCGAAGGCGACUUUCUGGCCUGUUCUUGACGCUGAGGCGCGAAAGCUAGGGGAGCAAACGGG
rnacentral:rRNA from 1 species